GAGCCCAUCACACUAAGUGGUAAGGCAGCACGGCUGGGAGCUGGGACCUUUGGGAUCUGUAGACAUGCACUGAAGCCACCACACUUGGUUGGUGUUUGAUAACUUCGCCGCUUUUCACUAAGGAGCCCUCAGAGAUUUCGGCCCAGCUCUCUCCUGUACAAAGAUGAACCAUGGGUGAGCCCCGGCCAGCUCUGUGAUUUAGAUUUCCCAUCGCUUGUCUGCGAGCUGGGCUGAUAUUUAUGGACAUGCUCUGGAUCGGAGGUAAAAUGCUGCAUCUUUCAUGGAAGCUGUGAGAGCAGCCAGGCUGAUAUCACCGGAGGCAAGACCUGAAUCAGACGCGGAGAAAUCAGCUAUUUAAAUGCACCGGAGUUGCUGCGCUCCCAUUAAACCCCAAGAAACCCAAUUGCAGUUUGGAGAUAGAGGGCCCAGGGGACCUCCUGGUGGGGCAUGACACAGGGAAUUGCCCAGGGAAGGAAUAGCUUCAGGUGAUGUUCCUCUCAGCAGCUGCCCUCCUCGUGCUUCACAUCGCUCCAUCCCUGCCUGGCCUUCUCUGUGUGCUGCCAAGCUUCCUCCGCAUUUAGAUGCCAGCCCACCUCUAUUCUCCACCCAUCUCCUUGGAUCAGCCACCUCAACCACAGAGCCCUGUCAGGGUGCCAGCAGGUGCAGGACCUCCCCAUGGCAGUGGGCAGCAUCACCACCCCAUCCCUGGACAGCCACGAGCCACACAGGAUUUCUGCCUGAAUUAACCUUCAUUAUUCAAAUCCCACCCAGAACACGGGUAGUGGUACCGACUCAGUAAGAUGAGAAUGCUUUUGUAGAAACGUCCCUGCCAAGAGCAAGUUACCCUUGGGCAGGGAGAUAGGGUUUUGUGAUUGCAGUUUUUUGUAUGGAUGAUGUCCUUGCCUGUCUCAGAGAGGCUCACUGUAAAGGCUCAGAGGUUGGGUGCCAUUGCUCUGCAGUACAUGGGCAUGUCCAACCCACAGCCCCACGAGCUGCAGAUAGAUGAGGAGGGUAAUGUAAUUCCAUCUUUGGAAAUGUCAGACUUUAUGGAUGAAUAAAAUACAUUCCAUUUUCUUCUGUUUAUCAAUAUCGGGUGAGAACAGACUAGAAAUUGCUUAUAAAUGGAUAGCAUCAGGAGAGAGGCCAUCUAUUUGUUAUCUAUAGCAGAAGCUGAGCACUGAUCCUACUGUGGCAGCCACAGGUCAUAGAAUCAAAGAAUCACAGAAUAUCCUGAGUCAGAAGGGACCCAUGAGGAUCACUGAGUCCAGCCCCAUCACCUCUGCAUAGAAUACAAUAAAUGACUAAAAUAGAAAAGCGAGGCAUGGAUAGAAGAAAGAGCAACGUCGGGUUCUCCUCCGUUCAGCCAAUAAUUCUGACUACACAGUGUUUAACGUUUGGUGAUGCCAUGUACUGGUUUUUCCAUAAGAUGGUCUCAAAGCCGCUGUGUGCUCUGAGUUUCGAUGGGAAAUCCACGGUGCCAUGUGAGGGUGGGCUCCCCAGAGCUCCAUGGGGUGUGCAGGAGGGAUACAGUCCCCAACAGCACCAUAACGGUUAAAGGAGAGAUUUCAGGAAGGGGAACAGAACAGCAGAGAGUGAACUUUGCAGAUAAAUUAUAGCUAAAGAGGAAUGAAACAUUAUAGUUUCAAUUACUGCUGUGCCCAGCCACGCAGGUAGUAAUUCAAACAAGAAACAAUUGGCGGAUUGUCACCCUCAAAUCAGACACAUACCAUUUAAUUCCAUUUACUGAGGGUUCACUGACUGUAUUUUGAAUCAAAUACAGCCAUUAAUGUGCAAAGAUCUGAAAAAUGCAUGUGUCCCUUUUACAAAUGUGACAAUGAGACGCUAAUUCCUGUAAAGCCCUUUUUUCUUCAGGUUGGACUGCUCCUAUUGCCUUUAGUUAUGCAGAUAUUACUUAUUAAGAGUUUUAAUAUGUCAGGCUGGUUCUUUUGAAAUGCCUUGUGCCUUUUUGUUCAGAGCGUGCGGAAAGCGCAGCUAAAUCCAUUCUUACGUUCCAUCAUCCAAACUUAGCAAAUUGAUUCGAAUGCAGGAAAAAAAAAAGCUACUUUCAUUAAAACAAUUAAAUCCUUACUAUUAUUGCUGUAUCUGGCUAUUACAGCACAAAUAUAAAUCAUCGGUUACAGGAGCUAAAAGCUUUCAGCUGGAAUUGCUCUACCGUCUGCCCCAUGCCAUGGGCAGGGAGGAAGGAUGACGUGCACCAGGCUUCUUUACGGGAGAUGCUGCUGCCUAAAUAAAAAAGUCAAGUCCAUAAAGUGAAUAUUAUUGUGCUACCUUGUUUCUCCCCAGCAGUGAAGCAAUGCAUGCCAAUGGGCAGAGCGAAUAGGAGGAAAUAGUUGGGUUGGUUUUCCCGCUCCUCGUGAAUUGGGGGACAUUUUGGAAGGGGCACAAAGGUUUCGGGGGCAGUUGAGUGCUUUUGUUUUCCUUUUCUAAAUAAACCACGGAUCUGCACUGCCACACACUCCCCGUGGGGUCACGAAGUGUGCUGCAGAAUAAAAACGGAGCUUUCUGUGAUAGUGCACUUGCCCUUCAGAGCCGCUUGGAUUGCAUCAAAGGGCAAAUUGUUUAAAUAUAAUUUUCCUGAUUACUGAAUAGGUCGACCGAACAGGAUAUGAAAUGCAAAGGCUUUUCUCAUCUUGCUCUUUGCAUCAUCCUAGGGCACACCUCGCUACAGGUGCUGCCUGUUGGCUCAAGGACACUUCCAGGCGGCAGAAUAUCAAAGGAGCAGGGAUGGACAGCCCAGUGCAUCCUGCACAUUUUAAAUUGCUUAAAAAGACUCUUUUGCAAAGGGAGUCUGAGGCAGGGACCGAAAUCAGUGCUCAGCAUGUGGAUUAGACAAACAGAGUGGUCAUUAGCGCUGAUUGUCAUUGUCACACAAGCACAGACUGUUAAUUCAGCCCAGGAGUCAUUAGAAACGAGCCUCAGCGGGGAGAGGGGUUGGUGUUGGUGUAGAUGCUGGAUGGUGGCUCUGCUGGCUUGGCAGAACAUGAAGGAGACCCCUGAGAUCCUACACUGCUCCGGUUGUAAAUUCCAAAUGGAAACUCCCAGGAAUUUGCCAGGAAAAGGAUAAUCACUCAUUAUUCUCAUUUGUGGAAAGCUGUUUAAACCCAGCCCUGCUUUUCUCACCCCAUUCCCAAGCUGAGCUCAUCACCUUUCUGAGAAGCCACGCUCUUCCAGGACAGUGUCUCCUCUUCCAGUGAGCUUUUGCCCUGGCUUUUCUCCUGGGUCCAUUUGGGAGGGUUCCAUCUUUGCCCCAGUGCUUUUGCCAGUGGCUGCCACCAUCCAGAGAGAUAUUCAGCCUCAAGGAGUCCCCAGCAAAGAGCACCCACUGCCUUCCAGCCUCACCCCAGCAGCAGCGUUGAGGUCCCACAGCUGCAGAGCAGCGCCCGUUGUGCUGUGCGGGUGCCCCUUUAUUGGAGUUCCUCCCACCACGUGCUUGUAAUUUAUUUGUAUUUCCAGCAGAGAUAAUUGAGUUAUCAAUUCUGUGCUCUUUUGGGCCAGAAGCAAAGAGAUCAGAGAGCUGUUUUAUACACCUAAUUAUAGAUUAUUUCCCAUAGCUAUAAAACCACAGAGGGACAGAUCCAGAGAGCAUCCUUUUCAUCUCCACUGACUUUUGCCUUUGCUCUCUCAGACUCGGAUCAGAAGGGCCUCCAGACAAAACAGUUGUCAAAAGCAAGGGCUCCUUAUCUCCUCACAGGACAAAACCUCUCGGCAUCCCAGUAGAGACCGUGCACAGUUGCUUAAAGAUCAAAUUCAACUUAUACUUAACCAAUCUGCUUAAGCCUUUAGCACCUCAUUGAGUCGUGCUGAGAUUUAUUCCGUUUCUGCACACUUUGGCUAUAAUCUGGUUCAUGACAAUGGCCUGGGGGUCUGCUGAGGAUGUAAAAAAUUGAUUUUCUUUGCCACAUGCAGGCUUUGUGGGCUUGCAUUUGGCAUGGCCCCUCAUGCCCCUGCUAGCUCCUAUGCUCAGCCUGCUCCCUCCUCCCCAGGCAGCUCUGAGCACCCUGCAGCAUCCGCAGAUCCCGCAGAGCUGCAGUGCAGAGCAGGGGUUGAGGUCCGGCAUACCCGAAUUUUCUAUGUAUGGAAAGAAAUGGGAAGUGUCCGUGCGUCGGUGUUAAGUUUCUGGUGGUGACACGCAGAGGCCAUCCGAGAUGUAUGACCUAGCAAAUGUAUUGUAACGCACACAUCACAUUCGUUCUCUGGGUAAAUAGAUAUUGUCUAGGGUACAUUACAUCUGUGCCUUCGUGUUUAAUUUAAUGUAAGUGAACUGCCUUAAUUUCUCCAAAUUGUAGUAAUAAACAUAACGUUAACGGUGAUACUGCUAAUAAUUUAUUUUGCAAGCGAUUAAUCAACAACAAACUCUUUUAAUUACCUGUUCUGAAAUGUCAAACUCUAAACUAAUUACAUGUUAUUACAUGAAUUCAUGUAUAUGUAUACACAAAUACGAAUUCCAAGGGUAAUUAAAAUGAAUAAACCAUCAGAUUUGGUAAAAUCAUGCAGCUGAGAGAAGUUUGCUCUCCACUGCAUUUCUGCCUCUUUGCAUUUCAUCCUCAGCACAAAGGGAGCUAGAUUCCAAGGCUCUGAGCGAGUCGUUUGUGCUUCUGCAAAAAAAUAUUACCCACAGAAAGUGGCAAACCCCGUGGGAUCUAUGCUGAGAACCACAAGGAAGAGAGGAAAGCAGCUGUGCUGCUCUGCUGGGGGGAGUACAGAGUGUGGGGCUCAUUUGGGUGCUCCCUGUGCAGGGGGUGAAACCAAGCAGGACA